rnacentral:rRNA from 1 species
GAUGAACGCUAGCUACAGGCUUAACACAUGCAAGUCGAGCGACCGGCGCGCGGGUGAGUAACACGUAACCAACCUCCCCUUUACUCGGGGAUAGCCUUUAGAAAGAAAGAUUAAUACACGAUGUAAAGGAUGGGGAUGCGUUCCAUUAGGUUGUUGGUGAGGUAACGGCUCACCAAGCAUUCGAUGGAUAGGGGCUCUGAGAGGAAGGCCCCCCACAUUGGAACUGAGACACGGUCCAAACUCCUACGGGAGGCAGCAGUGAGGAAUAUUGGUCAAUGGGCGUUAGCCUGAACCAGCCACGUGGCGGGAAGAAUGAAGGCUUAUGGGUCGUAAACUUCUUUUAUAGAAGAAUAUGUAUUAUAUGAAUAAGGAUCGGCUAACUCCGUGCCAGCAGCCGCGGUAAUAC